rnacentral:rRNA from 1 species
UGAGUAACCUGCCCUUAACUCUGGGAUAAGCCUGGGAAACUGGGUCUAAUACCGGAUAUGACUCCUCAUCGCAUGGUGGGGGUGGAAAGCUUUUUUGUGGUUUUGGAUGGACUCGCGGCCUAUCAGCUUGUUGGUGAGGUAAUGGCUCACCAGGGCGACGACGGGUAGCCGGCCUGAGAGGGUGACCGGCCACACUGGGACUGAGACACGGCCCAGACUCCUACGGGAGGCAG